rfam:Ciona savignyi cont_62701, whole genome shotgun sequence.
GGUAGCAUGGCAGAGCGGUCUAAGGCGCUGGAUUAAGGCACCAGUUAUUUCGAUGGCGUGGGUUCGAAUCCCACUGCUGCCA